CCGAACCUCACCCAGCUAAUCCACCCAGUUCUACUCUACAAGCCAUUGUACCGAACCCCAGUUUCUAGCAAAAUCCAUGGCGUGAGGCUUGAAAUUGUCUGAUUGUGAAGGUAACAUAUCUUUGUCAGAUCAUCUCUUCAUGGCCAUCAUCUAUUUUCCCUAAACUAUUAAUCAUUUUACUUUCUCUCACUUUCUAUAUUAAUGAUGUGCAGGAGAGCGCUCUUCUAAUAAACAUAAACCGGCUAAAUGGAUGAGGCAAUCCGGCUCCACUUCCCGCCCUCAGGAAACCAAGGCCUCCAAAAGCCC
rnacentral:lncRNA from 1 species